CAUUAUGAUGAUUAACUUACAACAUUAACUUUCGUUCUACCGAUUUGAUCAAACGAUCAUGUGGACAACUUUCUUCCCUGACU
rnacentral:snoRNA from 1 species